GCUUUGGAGCUUUUUUGGACAGCUAGCAGAGAACUUGAAACGCACAACCGGAGAGUAGAAAAGAGAUGGCGGUCGACUAGUUUACGUGAACGUUUAUCAUUUCAAAUCUAUGGUCACAAUCAGCGGACAAAGAAGUUUCACAACCGAAGAUAACUUGUUUCAUUUUGGUCCAACCAGAAGGUGAGUCAAAUUAAAACACCUUUAAGAUUUUUCCUUUUCCGUUCAUAUUGAAAAAAAAACGACGGCACGUGUACAUCGCGUGAUGUAGUGUCGAGUGUCAGACUGUUGAUGUUGCCCCAUCAAUUGCGUGUGGACGGCGUAGAUAUAUAGAAGCGCGAUUCGAUGAGCCUCACAAAGCUUUGGUGAGCCCAGUCCGCGCUCGUUGUAGGUCACUCCACGUCAACUGGGUGAGCCAAAAGUCGGUUACUGCUACAUCAAAGAUGAUGUACUAAAAUAGAAGGCAAUCUCUAUCUUACAUGCACGUAAGAUAUAUUCUCCUCAUAUAAAUAGUGUAUGUGUGAGACCUACAUAUUAUUCAUGUGAGGAUAGUGUAUCUUACAUGCAUGUAAGAUAGAGAGACCCAAAAUAGAAAGCUCAGAAUUAGUAGAGUCCUUCACGCAAAUGGUGAAAUUUUAACCGAGUUAUAAAUGUUUAUUUAUCGGUUACCUCCCCUUAGGUUUAUGUAUUAUCACUUACUUAACAAUUUUCAUUUUAAUGAGUAUUUACCUCAUUUUCUAACCGUUAUUUAUCAGAUUCAAAAGUUUUAAUCAGAUUAAGAUUGUUUAACGACCUAAUUAAGCUUCUCUUGAAGAACAUUCACGUGAGCAAUUAGUGGUUAAUAAAUAAAAAUAUAACAGUACUUGAACUUUAAUAAUACUUGAUCAUUAGUAUUUAAUAGACGCAUUGUACGUGAUCAUUAAAAACAUAGGACAGCUUCAUUUGAACCAUUUACGUUAUUGGUUAAAUAAUAGACAUAUAGAGCACUAUUUCUUUUAAAUAGAGGGAAGAGUUCAAGACUUUAUGCAAGCUCAAAAUUUAUAGAUUGUGAUAAAUCUCGGCCCUAUUUGAUAUAUAAUUCUAAUUUAUGCUCAGCAAACCCUUAAAUUAUAUUAUAAUUGAAUGAAUUUAAACUUUUAGUGAACCUUUGAUUGUAAUAUGUAUAUAUAAAAUAAAGGUCUAAGCCCUUUUUGCGUGGUAUGUAUUAUCAUUUAUCACUUUAAUAGCUAGUUAACGGGAAGGGAGGUGAAGGCCUAUUACGUGAAACCCGUGGUCUAAUUCAUAAUACAAUAAAAAUCAUGGGAAGUAAGUGAUAAGUGGCCAUAAUUCAGUCUUCGCUCGUGAUAGAUUCUAUCCUUUUUGAGCUAUUAUUAUCACAACGAGAUUCUUCAAUCGAAAAUCACCACAAAAAAAUAAAAUAAUAAUAAUAAUAAUAACAAACGAACGAAUCCUGAAAAACAGAUUUUUUUUAAGGGUUCCCCACCUCAACUUUGAUAUUGUAGUGAUGCAUUUUUAAAUCGAAGUUUGUUAUGAAAUAAAAAUUAUAAUUGUAAAAUAAAAUUUGAUAUUAGUGUUUAAUAAAUAUAACCAG
rnacentral:lncRNA from 1 species